rnacentral:rRNA from 1 species
CCUACGGGAGGCAGCAGUGGGGAAUAUUGGGCAAUGGAGGAAACUCUGACCCAGCGACGCCGCGUGCGGGAUGAAGGCCUUCGGGUUGUAAACCGCUUUCAGCAGGGAAGAAGCGAAAGUGACGGUACCUGCAGAAGAAGCACCGGCUAACUAUGUGCCAGCAGCCGCGGUAAUACAUAGGGUGCAAGCGUUGUCCGGAAUUAUUGGGCGUAAAGAGCUCGUAGGUGGUUCGUCACGUCGGAUGUGAAAAUCUGGGGCUUAACCCCAGACCUGCAUUCGAUACGGGCGAGCUUGAGUAUGGUAGGGGAGUCUGGAAUUCCUGGUGUAGCGGUGGAAUGCGCAGAUAUCAGGAGGAACACCAAUGGCGAAGGCAGGACUCUGGGCCAUUACUGACACUGAGGAGCGAAAGCGUGGGGAGCGAACAGGAUUAGAUACCCUGGUAGUCCACGCCGUAAACGGUGGGCACUAGUUGUGGGGACCUUCCACGGUCUCUGCGACGCNGCUACGCAUAGUGCCCGCCGUCGGGAGGUACGACCGCGAGAUAACUACAAGAGAGUAGACGNGNGAGACGCGACGACGACGACGACGGAGGGAGGAG